UGGCGGACGGGUGAGUAAUGUCUGGGAAACUGCCUGAUGAGGGGAUAACUACUGAAACGGUAGCUAAUACCGCAUAACGUCGCAAGACCAAAGAGGGGGACCUUCGGGCCUCUUGCCAUCGGAUGUGCCCAGAUGGGAUUAGCUAGUAGGUGAGGUAACGGCUCACCUAGGCGACGAUCCCUAGCUGGUCUGAGAGGAUGACCAGCCACACUGGAACUGAGACACGGUCCAGACUCCUACGGGAGGCAGCAUG
rnacentral:rRNA from 1 species